GUCAAGCUGCCCUUCAUGCUACGACGGAAUGCUGGACCUCAUCUCGCUGCUGUUGCUUCUGAAUGAUCCAAGAAGAUUCCACAGGGACAGGUGGCUCACCGGCUGAGAGCGGACAACCGUCCCUGAGGUCUUCUGCUAAGAUGCCCACCGGAGCGAAAGGAACCAAGUAAAUCUCCCCAAUGUGGAUGCAAUUCAUGUGCCCAAGUGAUGAACGUCUCACGAAAUGCCCCAUUUCUAGUGGGAAUCCUUCUGUAACCUUAUGUGUUUUUCUGAGAGUUUAGAUGUGUGAAAUAUCUCAAAGCUGAUGUGUUUAUAAUUCUAUGUAAAUAAAAAAAAAAAUACUUUGUGUUUA